GAUGCCAGCUUGCUGGUGGAUUAGUGGCGAACGGGUGAGUAACACGUGAGUAACCUGCCCUUGACUCUGGGAUAAGCCUGGGAAACUGGGUCUAAUACCGGAUAUGACCUUCCAUCGCAUGGUGGUUGGUGGAAAGCUUUUGUGGUUUUGGAUGGACUCGCGGCCUAUCAGCUUGUUGGUGGGGUAAUGGCCUACCAAGGCGACGACGGGUAGCCGGCCUGAGAGGGUGACCGGCCACACUGGGACUGAGACACGGCCCAGACUCCUACGGGAGGCAGCAGUGGGGAAUAUUGCACAAUGGGCGCAAGCCUGAUGCAGCGACGCCGCGUGAGGGAUGACGGCCUUCGGGUUGUAAACCUCUUUCAGUAGGGAAGAAGCGAAAGUGACGGUACCUGCAGAAGAAGCGCCGGCUAACUACGUGCCAGCAGCCGCGGUAAUACGUAGGGCGCAAGCGUUAUCCGGAAUUAUUGGGCGUAAAGAGCUCGUAGGCGGUUUGUCGCGUCUGCCGUGAAAGUCCGGGGCUCAACUCCGGAUCUGCGGUGGGUACGGGCAGACUAGAGUGAUGUAGGGGAGACUGGAAUUCCUGGUGUAGCGGUGAAAUGCGCAGAUAUCAGGAGGAACACCGAUGGCGAAGGCAGGUCUCUGGGCAUUAACUGACGCUGAGGAGCGAAAGCAUGGGGAGCGAACAGGAUUAGAUACCCUGGUAGUCCAUGCCGUAAACGUUGGGCACUAGGUGUGGGGGACAUUCCACGUUUUCCGCGCCGUAGCUAACGCAUUAAGUGCCCCGCCUGGGGAGUACGGCCGCAAGGCUAAAACUCAAAGGAAUUGACGGGGGCCCGCACAAGCGGCGGAGCAUGCGGAUUAAUUCGAUGCAACGCGAAGAACCUUACCAAGGCUUGACAUGAACCGGAAAGAUCUGGAAACAGGUCCCCCACUUGUGGUCGGUUUACAGGUGGUGCAUGGUUGUCGUCAGCUCGUGUCGUGAGAUGUUGGGUUAAGUCCCGCAACGAGCGCAACCCUCGUUCUAUGUUGCCAGCACGUGAUGGUGGGGACUCAUAGGAGACUGCCGGGGUCAACUCGGAGGAAGGUGGGGACGACGUCAAAUCAUCAUGCCCCUUAUGUCUUGGGCUUCACGCAUGCUACAAUGGCCGGUACAAAGGGUUGCGAUACUGUGAGGUGGAGCUAAUCCCAAAAAGCCGGUCUCAGUUCGGAUUGGGGUCUGCAACUCGACCCCAUGAAGUCGGAGUCGCUAGUAAUCGCAGAUCAGCAA
rnacentral:rRNA from 1 species